UACGUAGGGGGCAAGCGUUGUUCGGAAUCACUGGGCGUAAAGGGAGCGUAGGCGGAGCCGUAAGUUAGAAGUUUAAUACCCAGGCUUAACCUGGGCAGUGCUUUUAAUACUGCGGUUCUUGAGUAUGGAAGAGGGAGAUGGAAUUCCAGGUGUAGCGGUGGAAUGCGUAGAUAUCUGGAAGAACACCAGUAGCGAAGGCGGUCUCCUGGUCCUUUACUGACGCUGAGGCUCGAAAGUUAGGGGAG
rnacentral:rRNA from 1 species